rnacentral:rRNA from 1 species
CCAGCAGCUGCGGUAAUUCCAGCUCCAAUAGCGUAUAUUAGAGUUGUUGCAGUUAAAAAGCUCGUAGUUGGAUUUCAAGAAAUGCAUCUAGAAAUAGUUUGCUUUCUACCAGUCUUUGACUGUUACUGUGAGAAAAUUAGAGUGUUUCAAGCAGGCAAUUGCAGGAAUACAUUAGCAUGGAAUAACGAAUGUAUCUACAAUUUGGUUGAUUGUAGGUUUCGAUUAAUAGGGACAGUUGGGGGCAUUAGUAUUUAAUUGUCAGAGGUGAAAUUCUUGGAUUAGUUAAAGACUAACGUAUGCGAAAGCAUUUGCCAAGGAUGUUUUCA